AUUGAACGCUGGCGGCAUGCCUUACACAUGCAAGUCGAACGGUAACAGGUCUUCGGAUGCUGACGAGUGGCGAACGGGUGAGUAAUACAUCGGAACGUGCCUAGUAGUGGGGGAUAACUACUCGAAAGAGUGGCUAAUACCGCAUGAGAUCUACGGAUGAAAGCAGGGGAUCGCAAGACCUUGUGCUACUAGAGCGGCCGAUGGCAGAUUAGGUAGUUGGUGGGAUAAAAGCUUACCAAGCCGACGAUCUGUAGCUGGUCUGAGAGGACGAUCAGCCACACUGGGACUGAGACACGGCCCAGACUCCUACGGGAGGCAGCAGUGGGGAAUUUUGGACAAUGGGUGCAAGCCUGAUCCAGCAAUGCCGCGUGCAGGAUGAAGGCCGUCGGGUUGUAAACUGCUUUUGUACGGAACGAAAAGCCCUGGGUUAAUACCCUGGGGUCAUGACGGUACCGUAAGAAUAAGCACCGGCUAACUACGUGCCAGCCGCCGCGGUAACAC
rnacentral:rRNA from 1 species